UACGUAGGGUGCAAGCGUUAAUCGGAAUUACUGGGCGUAAAGCGUGCGCAGGCGGUUAUGCAAGACAGAUGUGAAAUCCCCGGGCUUAACCUGGGAACCGCAUUUGUGACUGCAUAGCUGGAGUACGGCAGAGGGGGAUGGUAUUCCGCGUGUAGCAGUGAAAUGCGUAGAUAUGCGGAGGAACACCGAUGGCGAAGGCAGUCCCCUGGGCCUGUACUGACGCUCAUGCACGAAAGCGUGGGGAGCAAACAGG
rnacentral:rRNA from 1 species